rnacentral:rRNA from 1 species
GUUUGAUCAUGGCUCAGGAUGAACGCUAGCGGCGCGCUUUAUGCAUGCAAGUCGCACGGUCCCGCAAGGGACAGUGGCAAACGGGUGAGUAAUGGAUAAGUAACCUGCCCUUAAGUGGGGGAUAACACUUCGAAAGAAGUGCUAAUACCGCAUGUGGUGCUCUUUCACAAGAAGGAUCACUAAAACCGCAAGGUGCUUGAGGAGGGGCUUGUCUCCGAUUAGCUAGUUGGUGGGGUAACGGCCUACCAAGGCGAUGAUCGGUAGCUGGUCUGAGAGGAUGGUCAGCCACACUGGGACUGAGACACGGCCCAGACUCCUACGGGAGGCAGCAGCAAGGAAUCUCGGGCAAUGGGCGAAAGCCUGACCCAGCGACGCCGCGUGAGGGAUGACGGCCUUCGGGUUGUAAACCUCUUUUCUCAGGGAAGAAUAAUGACGGUACCUGAGGAAUAAGUCUCGGCUAACUACGUGCCAGCAGCCGCGGUAAUACGUAGGAGGCGAGCGUUAUCCGGAUUUAUUGGGCGUAAAGUGGGCGUAGGUGGUCUUUCAAGUCGGAUGUGAAAUCUCCCGGCUCAACUGGGAGGGGUCAUCCGAUACUGUUGGACUUGAGUACAGCAGGGGAAAAUGGAAUUCCCGGUGUAGUGGUGAAAUGCGUAGAUAUCGGGAGGAACACCAGAGGCGAAGGCGAUUUUCCAGGCUGAAACUGACACUGAGGCCCGAAAGCGUGGGGAGCGAACAGGAUUAGAUACCCUGGUAGUCCACGCCUUAAACUAUGGGUACUAGGUAUAGGGAGUAUCGACCCUCUCUGUGCCGAAGCUAACGCUUUAAGUACCCCGCCUGGGGAGUACGGUCGCAAGACUAAAACUCAAAGGAAUUGACGG